GGGUUGUGAGGUUAAGCGACCAAGCGUACACGGUGGAUGCCCUGGCAGUCAGAGGCGAUGAAGGACGUGCUAAUCUGCGAAAAGCGCCGGUAAGGUGAUAUGAACCGUUAUAACCGGCGAUGUCCGAAUGGGGAAACCCAGUGUGACUCGUCACACUAUCAUUAACUGAAUCCAUAGGUUAAUGAGGCGAACCGGGGGAACUGAAACAUCUAAGUACCCCGAGGAAAAGAAAUCAACCGAGAUUCCCCCAGUAGCGGCGAGCGAACGGGGAGCAGCCCAGAGCCUGAAUCAGCAUAUGUGUUAGUGGAAGCGUCUGGAAAGGCGCGCGAUACAGGGUGACAGCCCCGUACACAAAAGCGCAUAUGCUGUGAGCUCGAUGAGUAGGGCGGGACACGUGGUAUCCUGUCUGAAUAUGGGGGGACCAUCCUCCAAGGCUAAAUACUCCUGACUGACCGAUAGUGAACCAGUACCGUGAGGGAAAGGCGAAAAGAACCCCGGCGAGGGGAGUGAAACAGAACCUGAAACCGUGUACGUACAAGCAGUGGGAGCCCCACCACCAAAGCGUUUCGCUUUGCGUGGUGCGCAAAAUGCGUAACGACAGCACGAUUGCGGUUAACGGAGCGUAAGCGACGUUCAACACAAGAAUCAGGCAGUGGAGCGUUUUGGGGUGGGGUGACUGCGUACCUUUUGUAUAAUGGGUCAGCGACUUAUAUUCUGUAGCAAGGUUAACCGUAUAGGGGAGCCGCAGGGAAACCGAGUCUUAACCGGGCGUUAAGUUGCAGGGUAUAGACCCGAAACCCGGUGAUCUAGCCAUGGGCAGGUUGAAGGUUGGGUAACACUAACUGGAGGACCGAACCGACUAAUGUUGAAAAAUUAGCGGAUGACCUGUGGCUGGGGGUGAAAGGCCAAUCAAACCGGGAGAUAGCUGGUUCUCCCCGAAAGCUAUUUAGGUAGCGCCUCGUGAAUUCAUCUCCGGGGGUAGAGCACUGUUUCGGCCAGGGGGCCAUCCCGGCUUACCAACCCGAUGCAAACUGCGAAUACCGGAGAAUGUUAUCACGGGAGACACACGGCGGGUGCUAACGUCCGUCGUGAAGAGGGAAACAACCCAGACCGCCAGCUAAGGUCCCAAAGUCAUGGUUAAGUGGGAAACGAUGUGGGAAGGCCCAGACAGCCAGGAUGUUGGCUUAGAAGCAGCCAUCAUUUAAAGAAAGCGUAAUAGCUCACUGGUCGAGUCGGCCUGCGCGGAAGAUGUAACGGGGCUAAACCAUGCACCGAAGCUGCGGCAGCGACACUAAGUGUCGUUGGGUAGGGGAGCGUUCUGUAAGCCUGCGAAGGUGUGUCGUGAGGC
rnacentral:rRNA from 1 species